rnacentral:rRNA from 1 species
CCUACGGGUGGCAGCAGUGAGGAAUAUUGGUCAAUGGCCGGAAGGCUGAACCAGCCAAGCCGCGUGAAGGACGAAGGUGCCAAGCAUUGUAAACUUCUUUUGUCAAGGGACAAAAUUAGGCUCGAGAGUCUGACCGAGGGUACUUUACGAAAAAGCAUCGGCUAACUCCGUGCCAGCAGCCGCGGUAAUACGGAGGAUGCGAGCGUUAUCCGGAUUUAUUGGGUUUAACGGGUGCGUAGGCGGGGUGUUAAGUCAGCGGUAAAAGCCCGGGGCUAAACCCCGGCGAGCCGUUGAAACUGGCUAUCUAGAGAUGUCGAGAGGUAUGCGGAAUG